AAAAACCCAACCAAAAAUUGGUAUGGGAAAUUUGAGAACCAAACUAAUUUAUACAAACAAUUCAAAAAAUCCAAAAAAAAAUAAUAAAAAACCUACUAUAAACUUGAAUCUAAAAAUCAGAAUCUCCAAAAGUUGUUUCACAUUAAGUCAAAGUUUUAUCGGCGGUAAAAGUAUCAUAGAAGCCCUUGUACCCAGAGUCGGAUUGCAUUUCCCCCCUCAACUAAAAAAAAUGGACAAAUUAGUCCCUACAUAUUAUAUUAAAAGAGUAAACUAAUCCUUCUAUUAAAAAAUCCCAUCCUUUUCUACUGUUAAAAACUGGUGGUUGUA
rnacentral:lncRNA from 1 species